rnacentral:rRNA from 1 species
GUCUGUGGCCAUGCCAUCCUGAACAAGCCCGAUGUCUGAUCUCGGAAGCUAAGCACAGUCGGGCCUAUUUAGUACUUGGAUGGGAGACCAUCUAAGAAGACCAGGUGCAGUAGGCA